GGAGGGGCUGCAAUUCCCGGUCGCCGCCUGCUGCUGUCCAGGCAGGACCAAGCUUUAUCCGACGCGACUAUAAAACGACAAAAUUAUAGCUACGAGCACGACGCCAGUCAAGGUGCUCUCCCCGCGCUGCGCCAGCUCCGCGCACUAAAGUGCCCCGCCUCGCCACGUCGUCUUGUUUUCGGCCGGAACCCAUUAAAAUUUUCGGUGCGGGGCGCUGCAAUUUUCAUCGCGCCGGCGUCGCAUAUUUAAAAUAACCCGCGCCUCGGUAAAAGCAGGCGGCCACCACCUGGCCUUUCCGAAACAGCACGCACUACAGCCGCUCGCGAUAGUAACAUCUGUAAUUUGCCGGUCGUUUCGCCCUGGAAAUGGAGUAGUGAGAUAAAUUGUUUGAAAUAAUGAAUGUCCUCGUUUGCUGCAAUUUUUAUGGAAACCUACAAAGAUGCCAUUUGUGUGUACUAAUACUAAUUUAUAACCUUUUUCUCUAAAACCAAUUUUGUCAAAUCAAUGUAUUUUUUAUCGCAGUUUUGCCUUUUUUAAUGAUACUUCUUAUUUAUUUCAAAUGCCUCGCUGUUCCUUCCGCAUGCGAAAUGGAAUCUAUAGCAGGAGACGGUUUAGCAAACCAAAGUGAUGUGCGCGUCGCGUCGUAUCACCCAGGUGAUGAGCGCCAGGCAGAUAGGUGGGGAAAAGAGCAGCGUCCAACAGAAAUAAUGUGACUGGAAAGAAGAUGAGAUGAAAAUGAUCCUGGAAAGAAAAGAGGCGGAUUGUAGGGGCGAUUAUUCGCCAACACACGCGCGCCGCGCCUCAGUUCUGCGAAUAGGCGCUAUCAACGUCCGACUGCUAAUAGGCGUUGCGACUCUCUCGAAUCACUUCGGCCCUCAGUUGGGCUGGCUGGUUGUCCCCCCCUGAUGACGACAGGAGGUGGCGCGGAGUGGCCUGGGAGUGGCACGGCGGCGGCGGCCCUCGUCAGCCGGGACCCGCCGUCGCCGUCCUCCUGCAAUCAGCAAGAAAUGGCCUGAAUUGUUGGGAGGGAAAAGGGAGGGAGGUGGAAGAAGAAAUACAAAAUUGCCGUUUCUACGCCGUCAUCGCUUCUCCAUCUCUUUGAGCCCGGCACGCCUCGCGGGCACGACCACCUCAAGUACGUCUGGGACCCGCGGCCGGCAGGCCCGGCAGGCCCGGCAGGCCCGGUGUAGGCCUCACGGUUGGCGCGCGGACACUCGGUCCGGCCGGCCGGCCGGCCAGGGGGAAGUACACGGCGAGCGCGCAGCACGGCCGAGAUGAGCGAUCUGACGGCCAAGGUUAUUUCGUAAUAGAUGGCCAUCUCCAGGAACUACACUAUGGCGAUGCACUGUGCCUCACCGGUCAGAUUUACUGCGAUCUUGCGCCUGCUUGUGUGUGUGUGUGGGUGUGUGUUGGUGGCUGCCCGCUGUCAAGAUCUCGAACCGGAAAUAGCGUAGAGACGCUGUUUCCAAUUGUUCUGCAAACCUAUUCUAGUGGCGUAUGCGUGACUUACAUUAAAAUCUGCCCCAGUUGAUUUAUUAGACUUCAAUUCUUCUACGAAAACCUUCAUUUCUCAUUUUCAUUUCGAGAUUAUCUAAAACUAACAACAAACAGAGGUUUCUUUUUGUGUUGUGUCUCUUUUUUUGCCAGUGAAUUCAGCUCAAAUGACGUGCAUCCUUCGCACACCUUCGCUGUAGUCCGUUCCAUUAUCGGACCUGCGGCGUAAUUCACUGUCAGUCGCGCUGUGCAGUUGCGCGCGCCAUCAAUAUGCCAUUUAUUCCAGUCAGUCCAAAGCGUCGCCACCCCGACAGGCCAUAGGCGACAGAGCGUGGCGUUUCACAUGGUGUGCUGGGAGUAGGAAUGCAAGGCAAUAGGGCACGUCCCAGUAAAAAGGAUUGCAGACGGUUUUGCGACCAGAGCGCGGCGCCUUCACCACAGGCAACCCUUCUAUCACGCCAUAUACUACUCGGUCGUGACGUCACCGGGCUUUGCCGGAACCCGGCUGGAAGCAAGCCCUGACUCGGUUCGGUCCCGCCCGAGAGCGCCAGUCAGCUGUGAGCGACAGCCAAGGUGACGUCGCUCUCUGAGAGGUUUUGUUUCUAACCUCAACGUUCACCUCAAACCAUGUGGCCCAAACUAUCGCGCGAAAGGGCCUUCAGUGACGGGGGCAACAUCGCCAUGAUAGGCUAGACGCCGCCGCCAAGCCGCCGCGGCUUCGCGUCGCAGCAGCACGUCGCCGUCGUACCCAAUCGCCUCUGCGUCCAAGUCCGCCCUCGGCCCCAUCCGCAUCUGGGCCGUCCCCAAGACUCUUCAUCACCACCAAAGGCAAAUGUAUGAAAGUGUGGAGGAUUGUGAACUGAAAGGUGGUGAGUGCGGCGCGCGCGCCUCUACUAAAUCCCUUGGCCCUUGGGUACUUGUAAUGUUUUUCCCAGUGUGCCACACUUGGUCUCUAUUAAUAGACCCUAUUCGGUCUCGACUCAAAGAGAAGAAAACAGGAAUCCCGACCGGAACCAGUUACAAAAAAUCACGCUAUUUUAACAUUUCAAUGGCUCUGGUGGAUAGAAGCACCAUCCACAAUGUUUCUGAUAAUUUUUUAUGGCAGCUUUGCAAGUUUUCUCGCGAAGAUUUGGCAGAAUAAAGGUACUGGUUCCGGUCGGGAUUCCUGUUUUCUUCUCCCGUAGCCGAGACCGAAUAGGGUCUAUUGUUUUAUAGUGUAUUGUUCCGUGUUGUGUAGUUGCGCUAAAUUUGUGCUGUGAUUUUGAUGUUGCCAAUAGGCCUAUCAACUGUUUUGUUGAUUUGAUUUCAUUAACUUAAAUAAGAUAGUAGAUAGUAUUUCCUGUCUUUAAUUUUAACUACUUGACAUACUUUUAAGUAGUUUCGAUAUAUAGUGACUGUAUUUGCGGAGUAUCCGCCUAAAUGCUUUCAUGUCUGAUCUUAAGCUAUGGGUUACGAGCCCCACUUAUUGUUAAAAUUUCAAUGCUUGUCAGAAAAAAGAAUCUAAAAUAAAAAUAUUAUAAUAAAGUCUA